rnacentral:rRNA from 1 species
AACGAACGCUGGCGGCAGGCCUAACACAUGCAAGUCGAACGAGAAGCCACCUUCGGGUGGUGGACAGUGGCAGACGGGGGAGUAACGCGUGGGAACGUGCCUUUCGGUUCGGAAUAACCCAGGGAAACUUGGGCUAAUACCGGAUACGACCUUCGGGGGAAAGAUUCAUUGCCGAAAGAUCGGCCCGCGUCGGAUUAGCUAAUUGGUGGGGUAAUGGCCCACCAAGGCGACGAUCCGUAGCUGGUCUGAGAGGAUGACCAGCCACACUGGGACUGAGACACGGCCCAGACUCCUACGGGAGGCAGCAGUGGGGAAUAUUGGACAAUGGGCGAAAGCCUGAUCCAGCCAUGCCGCGUGGGUGAAGAAGGCCUUAGGGUUGUAAACCCCUUUCAGCGGGGAAGAUAAUGACGGUACCCGCAGAAGAAGUCCCGGCUAACUCCGUGCCAGCCGCCGCCGUAAGAC